UACGUAGGGGGCUAGCGUUGUCCGGAAUCAUUGGGCGUAAAGCGCGCGUAGGCGGUCAGGUAAGUCCGGUGUGAAAGUCAAAGGCUCAACCUUUGAAUGCCGCUGGAUACUGCCUGACUUGAGUCCGGAAGGGGCGAGUGGAAUUCCUGGUGUAGCGGUGAAAUGCGCAGAUAUCAGGAGGAACACCAAUGGCGAAGGCAGCUCGCUGGAACGGUACUGACGCUGAGGCGCGAAAGCUAGGGGAGCGAACGGG
rnacentral:rRNA from 1 species